rnacentral:rRNA from 1 species
UACGUAGGGUGCAAGCGUUGUCCGGAAUCAUUGGGCGUAAAGAGCGUGUAGGCGGCCUUUUAAGUCCUGCGUGAAAUCCUGCGGCUCAACCGCAGACGGUCGUGGGAAACUGGAAGGCUAGAGUGCGGGAGAGGAGAGUGGAAUUCCCGGUGUAGCGGUGAAAUGCGCAGAUAUCGGGAAGAACACCCGUGGCGAAGGCGGUUCUCUGGGCCGUUACCUGACGCUGAGGAGCGAAAGCGUGGGGAGCGAACAGGAUUGAGAUAACCC